rnacentral:rRNA from 1 species
AAUAGAUACCCAGGUAGUCCACGCCGUAAACGACUGAGUGCUAAGUGUUAGGGGGGUUUCCGCCCCUUAGUGCUGCAGCUAACGCAUUAAGCACUCCGCCUGGGGAGUACGGUCGCAAGACUGAAACUCAAAGGAAUUGACGGGGGGCCCGCACAAGCGGUGGAGCAUGUGGUUUAAUUCGAAGCAACGCGAAGAACCUUACCAGGUCUUGACAUCCCGCUGACCGGCCUAGAGAUAGGCUUUUCCCUUCGGGGACGAGCGGUGACAGGUGGUGCAUGGUUGUCGUCAGCUCGUGUCGUGAGAUGUUGGGUUAAGUCCCGCAACGAGCGCAACCCUUGAUCUUAGUUGCCAGCAUUCAGUUGGGCACUCUAAGGUGACUGCCGGUGAUAAACCGGAGGAAGGUGGGGAUGACGUCAAAUCAUCAUGCCCCUUAUGACCUGGGCUACACACGUGCUACAAUGGACGGUAACAGAGGGUCGCAACCCGGCGAGGGUGAGCAAAAUCCCAUAAAACCGGUUCUCAGUUCGGAUUGUAGG